rnacentral:rRNA from 1 species
GAUGAACGCUGGCGGCGUGCUUAACACAUGCAAGUCGAACGAUUGAAGCUGGAGCUUGCUCCGGCCGAUUUAGUGGCGGACGGGUGAGUAACGCGUGGGUAACCUGCCUCAUACAGGGGGAUAGCAGUUGGAAACGACUGGUAAAACCGCAUAAGCGCACGGUGUCGCAUGACACAGUGUGAAAACACUCCGGUGGUAUGAGAUGGACCCGCGUCUGAUUAGCUAGUUGGUGAGGUAACGGCCCACCAAGGCGACGAUCAGUAGCCGGCCUGAGAGGGUGAACGGCCACAUUGGGACUGAGACACGGCCCAAACUCCUACGGGAGGCAGCAGUGGGGAAUAUUGCACAAUGGGGGAAACCCUGAUGCAGCGACGCCGCGUGAGUGAUGAAGUAUUUCGGUAUGUAAAGCUCUAUCAGCAGGGAAGAUAAUGACGGUACCUGACUAAGAAGCACCGGCUAA